UACGUAGGGCGCAAGCGUUGUCCGGAAUUAUUGGGCGUAAAGAGCUCGUAGGCGGUUUGUCGCGUCUGUCGUGAAAGCCCACGGCUUAACCGUGGGUCUGCGGUGGAUACGGGCAGACUAGAGGCAGGUAGGGGAGAAUGGAAUUCCCGGUGUAGCGGUGAAAUGCGCAGAUAUCAGGAGGAACACCGAUGGCGAAGGCAGGUCUCUGGGCCGAUACUGACGCUGAGGAGCGAAAGCGUGGGGAGCGAACAGG
rnacentral:rRNA from 1 species